rnacentral:rRNA from 1 species
UUUAACUGAGCGUUCAGGAACUUCACGGAGACUCGCACCGGGGCGAACUACCCAUGAGCAGAAUGAUGCGAAGGUAAAAUUUCGGGGAGGCCCGAACCAACGAGCGUUGAGCAGCACGGGGAUGACUCGUGGGGCGCGUUGAAAUUCCAAUCGAGCCCGGAGAUAGCUGGUUCUCCCCGAAAUAGCUUUAGGGCUAGCCUCAAGGUGAGAGAUACGGAGGUAGAGCACUGAAUGUCCUAGGGGGUAUUGCACCUACCGAAGACUAUCAAACUCCGAAUGCCGUCAUCUUAUACUUGGGAGUCAGACUGUGGGUGAUAAGAUUCAUAGUCGAAAGGGCAACAGCCCAGAUCGUCAGCUAAGGUCCCUAAAUGUAAGUUAAGUGGUAAAGGAUGUGGGAUUGCACAGACAACCAGGAUGUUGGCUUAGAAGCAGCCACUCAUUCAAAGAGUGCGUAAUAGCUCACUGGUCGAGUGAUCCUGCGCCGAAGAUUUCCGGGGCUAAAACUUACUACCGAAGCUACGGCAUCAGUAAUGAUGGGUAGGGGAGCUUCCCAUACGGGUUGAAGCAUGACCGUAAGGACAUGUGGACAGUAUGGGAGUGAGAAUGUUGGCAUGAGUAGCGAGAUGUGGGUGAGAAUCCCAC